ACGAACGCUGGCGGCGUGCCUAAUACAUGCAAGUCGAACGAAGCUUUCUUUCACCGAAUGCUUGCAUUCACCGAAAGAAGCUUAGUGGCGAACGGGUGAGUAACACGUAGGCAACCUGCCCAAAAGAGGGGGAUAACACUUGGAAACAGGUGCUAAUACCGCAUAACCAUGAACACCGCAUGAUGUUCAUGUAAAAGACGGCUUUUGCUGUCACUUUUGGAUGGGCCUGCGGCGUAUUAACUUGUUGGUGGGGUAACGGCCUACCAAGGUGAUGAUACGUAGCCGAACUGAGAGGUUGAUCGGCCACAUUGGGACUGAGACACGGCCCAAACUCCUACGGGAGGCAGCAGUAGGGAAUCUUCCACAAUGGACGAAAGUCUGAUGGAGCAACGCCGCGUGAAUGAAGAAGGCCUUCGGGUCGUAAAAUUCUGUUGUCAGAGAAGAACGUGCGUGAGAGUAACUGUUCACGUAUUGACGGUAUCUGACCAGAAAGCCACGGCUAACUACGUGCCAGCAGCCGCGGUAAUACGUAGGUGGCAAGCGUUGUCCGGAUUUAUUGGGCGUAAAGGGAACGCAGGCGGUCUUUUAAGUCUGAUGUGAAAGCCUUCGGCUUAACCGAAGUAGUGCAUUGGAAACUGGAAGACUUGAGUGCAGAAGAGGAGAGUGGAACUCCAUGUGUAGCGGUGAAAUGCGUAGAUAUAUGGAAGAACACCAGUGGCGAAAGCGGCUCUCUGGUCUGUAACUGACGCUGAGGUUCGAAAGCGUGGGUAGCAAACAGGAUUAGAUACCCUGGUAGUCCACGCCGUAAACGAUGAGUGCUAAGUGUUGGAGGGUUUCCGCCCUUCAGUGCUGCAGCUAACGCAUUAAGCACUCCGCCUGGGGAGUACGGUCGCAAGACUGAAACUCAAAGGAAUUGACGGGGGCCCGCACAAGCGGAGGAACAUGUGGUUUAAUUCGAUGAUACGCGAGGAACCUUACCCGGGUUUAAAUGUAGAUUGCAUGAGGUGGAAACACUUCUUCCCUUCGGGGCUAUUUACAAGGUGCUGCAUGGUUGUCGUCAGCUCGUGUCGUGAGAUGUUGGGUUAAGUCCCGCAACGAGCGCAACCCUUAUUGUCAGUUGCCAUCAUUAAGUUGGGCACUCUGGCGAGACUGCCGGUGACAAACCGGAGGAAGGUGGGGAUGACGUCAAAUCAUCAUGCCCCUUAUGACCUGGGCUACACACGUGCUACAAUGGACGGUACAACGAGUCGCUAACUCGCGAGGGCAAGCUAAUCUCUUAAAGCCGUUCUCAGUUCGGAUUGCAGGCUGCAACUCGCCUGCAUGAAGUCGGAAUCGCUAGUAAUCGCGAAUCAGCAUGUCGCGGUGAAUACGUUCCCGGGCCUUGUACACACCGCCCGUCACACCAUGAGAGUUUGUAACACCCAAAGUCGGUGGGGUAACCUUUUGGAGCCAGCCGCCUAAGGUGGGACAGAUGAUUGGGGUG
rnacentral:rRNA from 1 species